rnacentral:rRNA from 1 species
UAGGGAAUAUUGGACAAUGGGGGCAACCCUGAUCCAGCCAUGCCGCGUGAGUGAAGAAGGCCCUCGGGUUGUAAAGCUCUUUUGUCCGGAAAGAAAAGCAUUCGGUGAAUACCCGGAUGUUCUGACGGUACCGGAAGAAUAAGCACCGGCUAACUUCGUGCCAGCAGCCGCGGUAAUACGAAGGGUGCAAGCGUUACUCGGAAUUACUGGGCGUAAAGCGUGCGGAGGUGGUUGUUUAAGUCUGAUGUGAAAGCCCUGGGCUCAACCUGGGAAUGGCAUUGGAAACUGGGCAGCUAGAGUGCGGUAGAGGGUAGUGGAAUUCCUGGUGUGGCAGUGAAAUGCGUAGAGAUCAGGAGGAACAUCCGUGGCGAAGGCGACUGCCUGGGCCAACACUGACACUGAGGCACGAAAGCGUGGGGAGCAAACA